rnacentral:lncRNA from 1 species
AUAAAGAUUCGAACAUUUCGCCUCUAUACAAUUUUAACAAGAAGGAAUUGGAUCCGGAUCAAACGAUCCAAAGCAUCCAUCUUUGACCAACUCGUAAUUUAUGUUUUUAGAGGUAUCACAACUUAGUUGGGAUUAGUCACUACCUUGCAACCUUUUUGGGUUUUAAGCAUCAUUAUAUUCUAAACAGUUAACACUACCAUAUCAUCUCUACUAUAGAGACAAUCAAUU